UAGGGAAUCUUCCGCAAUGGACGAAAGUCUGACGGAGCAACGCCGCGUGAGUGAAGAAGGUUUUCGGAUCGUAAAACUCUGUUGUCAGAGAAGAACAAGUUGGAGAGUAACUGCUCCAGCCUUGACGGUAUCUGACCAGAAAGCCACGGCUAACUACGUGCCAGCAGCCGCGGUAAUAAGUAGGUGGCAAGCGUUGUCCGGAUUUAUUGGGCGUAAAGCGAGCGCAGGCGGUUCCUUAAGUCUGAUGUGAAAGCCCACGGCGCAACCGUGGAAGGGCAUUGGAAACUGGG
rnacentral:rRNA from 1 species